GACGAACGCUGGCGGCGUGCUUAACACAUGCAAGUCGAACGGUGAAGCGCCUUCCUUUUUGGUGGGUGUGGAUGAGUGGCGAACGGGUGAGUAACACGUGAGUAACCUGCCCCCUUCUUCUGGAUAACCGCAUGAAAGUGUGGCUAAUACGGGAUAUUCUGGGUCUGUCGCAUGAUGGGUCUGGGAAAGAUAUUGUUUCGGUGGGGGAUGGGCUCGCGGCCUAUCAGCUUGUUGGUGGGGUGAUGGCCUACCAAGGCGGUGACGGGUAGCCGGCCUGGGAGGGUGGACGGUCACACUGGGACUGAGACACGGCCCAGACUCCUACAGGAGGCAGCAGUGGGGAAUAUUGCACAAUGGGCGCAAGCCUGAUGCAGCGACGCCGCGUGAGGGAUGGAGGCCUUCGGGUUGUGAACCUCUUUCGCCAGUGAAGCAGGCCUGCCUCGUUUGUGGGUGGGUUGACGGUAGCUGGAUAAGAAGCGCCGGCUAACUACGUG
rnacentral:rRNA from 1 species